GCAUUUUUAACUUUUAAGGGAGGGUGGAGACGGGGAUCUUUGAAUGAGAAGUUAACAGAUAUGUCUUUAAAAUCAGCAGUGACUGGAACCUUAUGAAUAAGUUAUUAGAUGCUCUAUACUUCUUUCCCCGAAGUUGUCAGGUGUCUUAAGAGGUAAAUUAAUGUUGGUUCAGGAAGUAUAAAGUGAGUCAUAGGAAGAGAAUCUGGUUCAAUGAUCUUGAAAUGUAUUAAAUGUCAAAGAUGAUAAUUUAAGCUCUUUUUUCUAGUUUUUUAGGGGGGUGAUCCAUUAUCUAAAUACUUUCAAGAGGCCGAGCUGACUAUUGAUGUAGAAUGAUUCAGACAACAUGAAUUUGCUCCCAGAACUUAUAGCUAUAUCGACAUAUGGAGAGCAAACCAGAAUGUGACCACUGCAGCCCUGUCCUCGUUUUCCUGCCUUCCUGUUCCUCGGAGGGAUGACGGUUUUUGACUCAUUUGCUGAAAGCCUGAUAGACAUCUUGAAUAAUUUACCAACUUCGAGUCUAGAUUUCAAACUUAAGGUGGAACCAGGAAGUAACCAGGAAAGAAUCUUCUAACUUUGCAAGGGGCGAAUCAAACCAACAAGUCAAAAGGCGAAGUCAAAAUGUUGCAAAGCAGAACCACAUGCUGAGCUUGGAGUUCCAGAGAAAUGUUGAAAGCUUAUCCCCCCAUGUGAUG
rnacentral:lncRNA from 1 species